rnacentral:rRNA from 1 species
CUACGGGUGGCAGCAGUAAAGAAUCUUCCGCAAUGGGGGCAACCCUGACGGAGCGACACCGCGUGGUGGAUGACACCCUUCGGGGCGUAAACACCUUUAUGAGGGAAGAAGAUCUGACGGUACCUCAUGAAUAAGGACCGGCUAAUUACGUGCCAGCAGCCGCGGUAAUACGUAAGGUCCAAGCGUUAACCGGAAUAAUUGGGCGUAAAGCGUCCGCAGGUGGCGCAGCAAGUGGAUUAUUAAAUACCGAAGCUCAACUUCGGUGCUGUAGUCCAAACUGUUGUGCUAGAGGUAUGGAGAGGUGCGUGGAAUUGUGCAAGUAGGGGUAAAAUCCGUAGAUAUGCACAGGAACACCAAAAGCGAAGGCAGCGCACUGGCCAUUACCUGACACUCAGGGACGAAAGCGUGGGGAGCGAAAGGGAUUAGAUACCCCCGUAGUC